AUGGGGACAUUCCUCGCCGCUGUUGAGGUUGAGCAGCCUGAUUACUUUGUCUUCACCGUGGGAUCGGACCAGCCAAGACGCAUCCAAUGGCCGACGGUUUCAGAAGAUGGGUGUCCUGCUGCCCGGUCCAACCAUCCACCAAUCCAUCAUCGUGGUAGCCUGCACUGGGCAAUGGGUUGCAGCAUAACGGUAUUUGACACCAUAGCCGAGACAUUCCGGCAGAUGAGCCGCCCGGCACAAUUGGGCAGCUACGUGCUAUUAUUGGAUACGGGCGACAACCUUGCUUUGUAUGCCAGCACGGCAGCAUCGACCAUGACCGCGUCACUGUGGAUGUCUGGGUGCUGGAGGACUAUGAUGCACAGAUCUGGGGGUUUUGAUACCGGAUUAACUUGUUAG
rnacentral:rRNA from 1 species